rnacentral:rRNA from 1 species
UACGGAGGGGGCUAGCGUUGUUCGGAAUUACUGGGCGUAAAGCGCACGUAGGUGGCUUGGCAAGUCGGGUGUGAAAUCCCCGGGCUCAACCUGGGAACUGCAUUCGAGACUGCCUUGCUCGAGUAUGGGAGAGGGAAGUGGAAUUUCCGGCGUAGCGGUGAAAUGCGUAGAUAUCGGGAGGAACACCAGUGGCGAAGGCGACUUCCUGGCCUGUUCUUGACGCUGAGGCGACGAAAGGCUAGGGGAGCAAACGGG